rnacentral:rRNA from 1 species
AGAGUUUGAUCAUGGCUCAUGAUGAACGCUGGCGGCGUGGAUAAGGCAUGCAAGUCGAACGGCCCUUCGGGGCAGUGGCAGACGAGGUAGUAACAUGUAGGUACGCACCCCAUGGUCGGGCAUAGCCAAUCGAAAGGUUGGGUAAUUCCCGAUAGUCCCGCGAGGGGAAAGGUUUAUCGCUCCGGGAACGGCCUGCACAGUAUCAGCUAGUUGGUAGGGUAAAAGCCUACCAAGGCUACGACGCUUAGGGGAGCUGAGAGGCUGACCCCCACCGAUGGGACUGAGACACGGCCCAUACUCCUACGGGAGGCCGCAGUCGAGAAUCUUCCGCAAUGGACGAAAGUCUGACGGAGCGACGCCGCGUGCUGGAUGAAGUUCUUCGGGACGUAAACAGCUUUUAUGUGGGACGAAAUUUUUGACGGUACCAUAUGAAUAAGGGGCUCCUAACUCUGUGCCAGCAGGAGCGGUAAUACAGAGGCCCCAAGCGUUACCCGGAAUCACUGGGCGUAAAGGGUGUCUAGGCGGUCAUAUUAGUCUUUUGUAAAAUCCGGGGGCUCAACCUCCGGCCUGCAAGAGAAACGGUAUGACUAGAGGAUAUGAGAGGUACAGGGAACUCAUGGUGUAGAGGUGAAAUCCGUUGAUAUCAUGGGGAACACCAAAUGCGAAGGCACUGUACUGGCAUAUUCCUGACGCUCACACACGAAAGCCAGGGUAGCGAAGAGGAUUAGAUACCCUCGUAGUCCUGGCCCUAAACGCUGCUCGCUCGCUUUACGGAGUAUCGACCCUCUGUGAGGCUAAGCUAACGCGGUAAGCGAGCCGCCUGGGUAGUACGAGCGCAAGCUUAAAACUCAAAGGAAUAGACGGGGACUCG